rnacentral:rRNA from 1 species
CUCCGUGCCAGCAGCCGCGGUAAUACGGAGGGGGUUAGCGUUGUUCGGAAUUACUGGGCGUAAAGCGCACGUAGGCGGAUCAGAAAGUAAGGGUGAAAUCCCAGGGCUCAACCCUGGAACUGCCUUGUAAACUCCUGGUCUUGAGUUCGAGAGAGGUGAGUGGAAUUCCGAGUGUAGAGGUGAAAUUCGUAGAUAUUCGGAGGAACACCAGUGGCGAAGGCGGCUCACUGGCUCGAUACUGACGCUGAGGUGCGAAAGUGUGGGGAGCAAACAGGAUUAGAUACCCUGGUAGUCCACACCGUAUACGAUGAAUGCCAGACGUCAACAAGCAUGCUUGUUGGUGUCACACCUAACGGAUUAAGCAUUCCG